rnacentral:rRNA from 1 species
UGGGGAAUAUUGCGCAAUGGGCGAAAGCCUGACGCAGCGACGCCGCGUGUGGGAUGACGGCCUUCGGGUUGUAAACCACUGUCGCGAGGGACGAAAAAAAUGACGGUACCUCGAAAGGAAGCACCGGCUAACUCUGUGCCAGCAGCCGCGGUAAUACAGAGGGUGCGAGCGUUGUCCGGAAUUACUGGGCGUAAAGGGCGCGUAGGCGGCCCGAUAAGUCGGGGGUGAAAUUUCGUGGCUCAACCACGAACCUGCCUUCGAGACUGUCAGGCUUGAGCACGGUAGAGGCAGAUGGAAUUCCCGGUGUAGCGGUGGAAUGCGUAGAGAUCGGGAAGAACACCAGUGGCGAAGGCGGUCUGCUGGGCCGUUGCUGACGCUGAGGCGCGACAGCGUGGGGAGCAAACAG